UUACCAGUCGUUCAAGGUGGACGGAUUCAGUCCCAAGAAGCUAAAGUUUUUCAAAGACAUUUGUAGGGAGGACUUUGCAGCUAAUGGAGCUGAAGUAUUUUAUGUAAGGAGGAUUUUGCAGCCCAUAUAGAUUUCCUUAGGCUGAACCAAAACCUGCCAGACUAAAGUUGAUUUGGGAGAGAAAGACGUUGUAAACUCAAUCAUCUUGACAUUCUUCAAUGAGUAAUUGUUCAAUUUUUAGGCAAAUACUGUACACUUUGAAUGCUGUGAAUAAAACUAUAUUUUAAAUAUAUUUAAAAUGAA